GAUGAACGCUGGCGGCGUGCCUAAUACAUGCAAGUCGAGCGAACGGACGAGAAGCUUGCUUCUCUGAUGUUAGCGGCGGACGGGUGAGUAACACGUGGAUAACCUACCUUUAAGACUGGGAUAACUUCGGGAAACCGGAGCUAAUACCGGAUAAUAUUUUGAACCGCAUGGUUCAAAAGUGAAAGACGGUCUUGCUGUCACUUAUAGAUGGAUCCGCGCUGCAUUAGCUAGUUGGUAAGGUAACGGCUUACCAAGGCAACGAUGCAUAGCCGACCUGAGAGGGUGAUCGGCCACACUGGAACUGAGACACGGUCCAGACUCCUACGGGAGGCAGCAGUAGGGAAUCUUCCGCAAAGGGCGAAAGCCUGACGGAGCAACGCCGCGUGAGUGAUGAAGGUCUUCGGAUCGUAAAACUCUGUUAUUAGGGAAGAACAUAUGUGUAAGUAACUGUGCACAUCUUGACGGUACCUAAUCAGAAAGCCACGGCUAACUACGUG
rnacentral:rRNA from 1 species